ACGGAAGGCAGCAGUGGGGAAUAUUGGGCAAUGGGCGCAAGCCUGACCCAGCAACGCCGCGUGAAGGAAGAAGGCUUUCGGAUUGUAAACCUCUGUCAUAAGGGACGAAAAAAGACGGUACCUUAGAAGGAAGCUCCGGCUAACUACGUGCCAGCAGCCGCGGUAAUACGUAGGGAGCAAGCGUUAUCCGGAAUUACUGGGUGUAAAGGGAGUGUAGGCGGGACUGUAAGUCAGAUGUGAAAUAUACCGGCUCAACUGGUAGACUGCAUUUGAAACUGCGGUUCUUGAGUGAAGUAGAGGUAAGCGGAAUUCCUAGUGUAGCGGUGAAAUGCGUAGAUAUUAGGAGGAACAUCAGUGGCGAAGGCGGCUUACUGGGCUUUAACUGACGCUGAGGCUCGAAAGCGUGGGGAGCAAACAGGAUUAGAUACCCUGGUA
rnacentral:rRNA from 1 species